rnacentral:piRNA from 1 species
UUCUCAUGCCAGCAAACAUUU